UAAAGUGCGAUAACUAGUGUGAAUUGCAUUACUUUGUGAACCAUCGAGUUUUUGAACGCAGUGUGCGCUUGCAGUAGUGCGAGCAUGCCUGGCUGAGAGUUGUAAAUUCAACGCAAGUGUGGAGAUAUACUUGCGAUUUGGACGGCAAGUACGCUUCCGUCUGGGAUUAUGCGGCAGGAAGACGCUGUGCAGUUGGCAGACGCUACGCACUCACGUCGACUGAGCCAAACAAGCAAACGGCCUCAGCUCAGGCAGGACGACCCGCUGAACUUAA
rnacentral:misc_RNA from 1 species